UUUAUGACGUCGAUAUUCGACGACAUAAACACGAAAUUUGAUGGUGUUUAUGACGUCGAAUGUCGACGUCAUAAA